AUUGAACGCUGGCGGCAUGCCUUACACAUGCAAGUCGAACGGUAACGCGGGGCAACCUGGCGACGAGUGGCGAACGGGUGAGUAAUGUAUCGGAACGUGCCCAGUUGUGGGGGAUAACUGCUCGAAAGAGCAGCUAAUACCGCAUACGACCUGAGGGUGAAAGCGGGGGAUCGCAAGACCUCGCGCAAUUGGAGCGGCCGAUAUCAGAUUAGGUAGUUGGUGAGGUAAAGGCUCACCAAGCCGACGAUCUGUAGCUGGUCUGAGAGGACGACCAGCCACACUGGGACUGAGACACGGCCCAGACUCCUACGGGAGGCGGCAGUGGGGAAUUUUGGACAAUGGACGCAAGUCUGAUCCAGCCAUGCCGCGUGCGGGAAGAAGGCCUUCGGGUUGUAAACCGCUUUUGUCAGGGAAGAAACGCUCUGGGUUAAUACCCCGGGGUAAUGACGGUACCUGAAGAAUAAGCACCGGCUAACUACGUGCCAGCCGCCGCAGUAACAC
rnacentral:rRNA from 1 species